rnacentral:rRNA from 1 species
GUAGGUGGCAAGCGUUGUCCGGAAUUAUUGGGCGUAAAGCGCGCGCAGGUGGUUCUUUAAGUCUGAUGUGAAAGCCCCCGGGCUCAACCGGGGAGGGUCAUUGGAAACUGGGGAACUUGAGUGCAGGAGAGGAAAGUGGAAUUCCACGUGUAGCGGUGAAAUGCGUAGAUAUGUGGAGGAACACCAGUGGCGAAGGCGACUUUCUGGCCUGUAACUGACACUGAGGCGCGAAAGCGUGGGGAGCAAACAGGAUUAGAUACCCUGGUAGUCCACGCCGUAAACGAUGAGUGCUAAGUGUUGGGGGGUUUCCGCCCCUCAGUGCUGCAGCUAACGCAUCAGGCACUCCGCCUGGGGAGUACGGCCGCAAGACUG